rnacentral:rRNA from 1 species
GAUGAACGCUAGCUACAGGCUUAACACAUGCAAGUCGAGGGACCGGCGCACGGGUGAGUAACACGUAUCCAACCUGCCCUUUACUCGGGGAUAGCCUUUCGACAGAAAGAUUAAUACCCGAUGUCAAGGCUGGGGAUGCGUUCCAUUAGGUUGUUGGUGAGGGAACGGCUCACCAAGCCUUCGAUGGAUAGGGGUUCUGAGAGGAAGGUACACCACAUUGGAAAUGAGACACGGUCCAAACUACUAUGGGAGGCAGAAGUGAGGAAUAUUGGUCAAUGGGCGUUAGCCUGAACCAGCCAAGUAGCGUGAAGGAUGAAGGCUUAUGGGUCGUAAACUUCUUUUAUAUAAGAAUAUGUAUUAUAUGAAUAAGGAUCGGCUAACUCCGUGCCAGCAGCCGCGGUAAUUC